UUGGAUGGAGGUGCAUGGCAAUACAUCUCCUGAGGCAGGAGAUUGAAGCUUGACCUUGCACUUCUGUGCCUGACACUUCUAGGCCUUCAUCUUUCUUCGAGGCAACAACAUACUGUCUAUUACAGAUGAGGCCUCCUGACUCCAACAGAAGUAUUCGAAGCCCAUGGAAAACCUCACAAAUCCUAGAGAGAGUUAAAGAGGUGGUGAUAUUAAAGCAAACACUUUCCUGCUGUCCAAACAGACACGCCGUGGUUCUGAAUUCUGAUGGAAAGGUAACCAAGUGAGCUUGUUGUGGCGUUAUUAUUUGUCACUCUCCAGGGCUAAUUGUUUAUAUCUCAGAAAGCUGGCUGUUACCAGAUCAUAUUUCAUUGACCCUCCUUCAUCAGUUUGUACUAUUUUCCUGUGUGUGGACUGUCUUUGUUUAAGGUUUCCCCAUAGUAGAAACUAAACCAUGUGUCUAUUACCCACUACUUUCUUCCUGUGGAGUC